GGCUCAGGAUGAACGCUAGCUACAGGCUUAACACAUGCAAGUCGAGGGGCAGCAUGGUCUUAGCUUGCUAAGGCCGAUGGCGACCGGCGCACGGGUGAGUAACACGUAUCCAACCUGCCGUCUACUCUUGGACAGCCUUCUGAAAGGAAGAUUAAUACAAGAUGGCAUCAUGAGUCCGCAUGUUCACAUGAUUAAAGGUAUUCCGGUAGACGAUGGGGAUGCGUUCCAUUAGAUAGUAGGCGGGGUAACGGCCCACCUAGUCUUCGAUGGAUAGGGGUUCUGAGAGGAAGGUCCCCCACAUUGGAACUGAGACACGGUCCAAACUCCUACGGGAGGCAGCAGUGAGGAAUAUUGGUCAAUGGGCGAGAGCCUGAACCAGCCAAGUAGCGUGAAGGAUGACUGCCCUAUGGGUUGUAAACUUCUUUUAUAAAGGAAUAAAGUCGGGUAUGGAUACCCGUUUGCAUGUACUUUAUGAAUAAGGAUCGGCUAACUCCGUGCCAGCAGCCGCGGUAAUACGGAGGAUCCGAGCGUUAUCCGGAUUUAUUGGGUUUAAAGGGAGCGUAGAUGGAUAUUUAAGUCAGUUGUGAAAGUUUGCGGCUCAACCGUAAAAUUGCAGUUGAUACUGGAUAUCUUGAGUGCAGUUGAGGCAGGCGGAAUUCGUGGUGUAGCGGUGAAAUGCUUAGAUAUCACGAAGAACUCCGAUUGCGAAGGCAGCCUGCUAAGCUGCAACUGACAUUGAGGCUCGAAAGUGUGGGUAUCAAACAGGAUUAGAUACCCUGGUAGUCCACACGGUAAACGAUGAAUACUCGCUGUUUGCGAUAUACUGCAAGCGGCCAAGCGAAAGCGUUAAGUAUUCCACCUGGGGAGUACGCCGGCAACGGUGAAACUCAAAGGAAUUGACGGGGGCCCGCACAAGCGGAGGAACAUGUGGUUUAAUUCGAUGAUACGCGAGGAACCUUACCCGGGCUUAAAUUGCAGAUGAAUUACGGUGAAAGCCGUAAGCCGCAAGGCAUCUGUGAAGGUGCUGCAUGGUUGUCGUCAGCUCGUGCCGUGAGGUGUCGGCUUAAGUGCCAUAACGAGCGCAACCCUUGUUGUCAGUUACUAACAGGUUCCGCUGAGGACUCUGACAAGACUGCCAUCGUAAGAUGUGAGGAGGGUGGGGAUGACGUCAAAUCAGCACGGCCCUUACGUCCGGGGCUACACACGUGUUACAAUGGGGGGUACAGAGGGCCGCUACCACGCGAGUGGAUGCCAAUCCCCAAAACCUCUCUCAGUUCGGACUGGAGUCUGCAACCCGACUCCACGAAGCUGGAUUCGCUAGUAAUCGCGCAUCAGCCACGGCGCGGUGAAUACGUUCCCGGGCCUUGUACACACCGCCCGUCAAGCCAUGAAAGCCGGGGGUACCUGAAGUACGUAACCGCGAGGAGCGUCCUAGGGUAAAACUGG
rnacentral:rRNA from 1 species